UUGACCUGGGAUCAGGUAG
rnacentral:rRNA from 1 species